rnacentral:lncRNA from 1 species
ACUUUUUCUGCUUUUUAUAUAUGAAUGAUUAUUACGUAGACAGGUUUUUAAUUGUCAACCUCAAAUUAAGUGUAAAAACAAUAAUGCUAACAUGUUUUUUUUAAAUUAAAGUUAACUUUUGGCUAAAUGUAGUGUAUCUACAGAGUUGUCAGAGAUAAAUAAUCCACGACUUGUUUAAUAUCAUCCAUCGGGAUUUGGGGAAGCAGCAGCUGAACUUCUGCAGGCAGCAGGAUUACUGACAUUUGAACUCUGAUUUGUGGACCAUCUAAGAGGAAACGAAUACCAUCAGUGGUGAAACAGCGACAUUGUGUGGCGGAAAGAUAACAGAUCUGUCUCUACACCACCGGCACAUGGGGGUUGUUUGGAGCUGCUGGGGGUUGAAAGGCUGACGGGGGAGGAACGACUCUGGCCUUUGUUCUGGUGUUUCCAGCGACCCCGUCGCACUCGUCUGACGUCACACAACCCCCGUCUUUCUCCCAGCAUUCCUCUGAAAUACAUCAGACACACACAAAAAGACUCAAAUGAACUAUUUCAGAAUCAUUUGAAUCAAAUUUUCAAAGCAGAAGUUGGAUUUGAGAAGAUUUUGUUUCAUGAGAUCCAAGUAAGAUUUCUCCUUGGAUGGUUUUUAUCUAUUGUAGCCUCUGUAAAGUCCACAGCUUUCUCUCAGAACAGACCUCAGACAAGUACGCAGCAGAGGAGGAAGUGGUUUAAAAAGCGCUCACAGACAGGCCCCUAUCGCACUAGUUCUCUAGUGCAUAUACUAAAAUUGGAACGAUACAGAGAAGAUU